AGCCUAUCACAGACUGCAUGAUCAUUCCCACCAGCUGGUCACAGGCUCCUGCUAGCAACCUAUCUUCUGAACUGGAUUUGGACUUUUAUCAAGAGGUGAAGACACUAGGAGUCACAGCUUUCCCACCGCUAAUGAUAUUAGCAGUUGAUGCAUUCAGCAGUUCCUUGCUCUGUUUUGGGUGUCAGUGAUGUCAUUAGCCAGUGCUGGUGAAGCAGAGCUAUGACCUCUGAUCUCCAGGGCUGAAAAAGUAGUUUAGCUCCUCUAUAAGAAAUUAAGAACAUGCAUUUGCCAGUAUUUUAUAUGUACUGCUACUGCCAGAAGCCUAAAGAAACUGUUGCUAACCAAGGAUGAAAUUGAUUUUAUCAGCCUUACCUACAGUCUGUUGUGGUUCCUGAUUUAAAAAAAAAAAAAAGUUAAACUUUUUUAAAUGGACAUUAUUUCCUCAAGAAUAUGCACAAUGAAUAUUAAACAGAUCCCUGAAGCACUUUGUGCCUUUGCCCAGAACCAAUUGUUUUUUCUUCAUUAUGUUCACUGAUUUUUCUUCUGCCAAUGUUGAGUUUAACUCUACACUUGCAGAGGAUUUGUGUGUAGACAGAUGGCAAGAUAGUACAUGAAAGAAUGAUUUCCAAAGGCACAAAGGGCAUUAGACAUCCACCUGCCAUUGAAAGUCAACCACUCUGCUCCCUUUCAUGCCUCUAAAAAUUGUCCUAGAAUUACUCGUACACAGAUAGGAGAACCUGAGCUAUGUGCAAUAUCCCAAAGCCAAAUUUGAAUUGGGUGCUAUUCUUUACCAGAACAAAAAUAAUUCUCUGGACAGUCCAGAAAGCUAACAAUUUCUUUUCCUAGAACCUUUCUAUUGAAAUUUUCAGUUCCUACUGACAAAGAAAGUUACAGGGACACAAAUACCUUUUGCAAAUUGCAGCUAGGCUUGUAUGCCACUGUUGUAGUGAGAAUGUUUGGGACUCCAACACGCUAAUAAAAUCCAUCUCCACAUCUGUUCCA
rnacentral:lncRNA from 1 species